ensembl:rRNA 5S_rRNA 5S ribosomal RNA
GUCUAUGGCCAUGCUACCCUGAAUACGCCCGAUCCUGUCUGAUCUCGGAAGCUAAGCAGGGUCAGGCCCGGUUAGCACUUGGAUGAGAGACCACCUAUGAAGACUGGGUGCUGAAGGUG